CCUACGUGUGGCAGCAGUGAGGAAUAUUGGUCAAUGGCCGAGAGGCUGAACCAGCCAAGUCGCGUGAGGGAAGACUGCCCUACGGGUUGUAAACCUCUUUUGUCGGGGAGCAAAGAGAGUCACGUGUGACUGCUUGAGAGUACCCGAAGAAAAAGCAUCGGCUAACUCCGUGCCAGCAGCCGCGGUAAUACGGAGGAUGCGCGCGUUAUCCGGAUUUCUUGGGCUUAAAGGGGGCGUAGGCGGGCGUUCAAGUCAGCUGUAAAAUCGCGGAGCUCAACCGCGCCCCGCAGUUGAAACUGGGCGCCUUGAGUUCACAACAGGCAGGCGGAAUUCGUGGUGUAGCGGUGAAAUGCAUAGAUAUCACGAGGAACCCCGAUUGCGAAGGCAGCCUGCCGGGGUGCGACUGACGCUGAGGCUCGAAGGUGCGGGUAUCAAACAGGAUUAGAUACCCUAGUAGUC
rnacentral:rRNA from 1 species